rnacentral:rRNA from 1 species
CCGGAUUAGUGGCGAACGGGUGAGUAACACGUGAGUAACCUGCCCUUAACUCUGGGAUAAGCCUGGGAAACUGGGUCUAAUACCGGAUAUGACUCCUCAUCGCAUGGUGGGGGGUGGAAAGCUUUAUUGUGGUUUUGGAUGGACUCGCGGCCUAUCAGCUUGUUGGUGAGGUAAUGGCUCACCAAGGCGACGACGGGUAGCCGGCCUGAGAGGGUGACCGGCCACACUGGGACUGAGACACGGCCCAGACUCCUACGGGAGGCAGCAGUGGGGAAUAUUGCACAAUGGGCGCAAGCCUGAUGCAGCGACGCCGCGUGAGGGAUGACGGCCUUCGGGUUGUAAACCUCUUUCAGUAGGGAAGAAGCGAAAGUGACGGUACCUGCAGAAGAAGCGCCGGCUAACUACGUGCCAGCAGCCGCGGUAAUACGUAGGGCGCAAGCGUUAUCCGGAAUUAUUGGGCGUAAAGAGCUCGUAGGCGGUUUGUCGCGUCUGCCGUGAAAGUCCGGGGCUCAACUCCGGAUCUGCGGUGGGUACGGGCAGACUAGAGUGAUGUAGGGGAGACUGGAAUUCCUGGUGUAGCGGUGAAAUGCGCAGAUAUCAGGAGGAACACCGAUGGCGAAGGCAGGUCUCUGGGCAUUAACUGACGCUGAGGAGCGAAAGCAUGGGGAGCGAACAGGAUUAGAUACCCUGGUAGUCCAUGCCGUAAACGUUGGGCACUAGGUGUGGGGGACAUUCCACGUUUUCCGCGCCG